rnacentral:rRNA from 1 species
UAAACGUCCCAGUUCGGAUUGUAGUCUGCAACCCGACUACAUGAAGCUGGAAUCGCUAGUAAUCGCGGAUCAGAAUGCCGCGGUGAAUACGUUCCCGGGUCUUGUACACACCGCCCGUCACACCAUGGGAGCCGGGAAUGCCCGAAGUCGGUGACCUAACCGAAAGGGAGGAGCCGCCGAAGGCAGGCCUGGUAACUGGGGUGAAGUCGUAACAAGGUAGC